AACGCGAAGAACCUUACCAGGCCUUGACAUCCCGUGCUACGUCCAGAGAUGGGCGGUCCCCGCAAGGGGCGCGGAGACAGGUGCUGCAUGGCUGUCGUCAGCUCGUGUCGUGAGAUGUUGGGUUAAGUCCCGCAACGAGCGCAACCCUCGCCUUUAGUUGCCAUCAUUCAGUUGGGCACUCUAAAGGGACCGCCGGCGACAAGCCGGAGGAAGGUGGGGAUGACGUCAAGUCCUCAUGGCCCUUACGGCCUGGGCUACACACGUGCUACAAUGGCGGUGACAGUGGGCAGCGACCACGCGAGUGGAUGCGAAUCCCAAAAAACCGGUCUCAGUUCGGAUUGCAGGCUGCAACUCGCCUGCAUGAAGUCGGAAUCGCUAGUAACCGCAGAUCAGCUACGCUGCGGUGAAUACGUUCCCGGGCCUUGUACACACCGCUAGUC
rnacentral:rRNA from 1 species